rnacentral:rRNA from 1 species
GACGUAGGGGGCCAGCGUUGCUCGGAAUUACUGGGCUUAAAGAGUCCGUAGGCGUCGCGGAAAGUGGGGUGUGAAAGCCCUCGGCUCAGCCGAGGAAUUGCGCUCCAAACUACCGUGCUUGAGGAACCUAGAGGUGAGCAGAACUGAUGGUGGAGCGGUGAAAUGCGUUGAUAUCAUCAGGAAUACCGGAGGCGAAGGCGGCUCACUGGGGGUUUUCUGACGCUGAGGGACGAAAGCCAGGGUAGCGAACGGG